rnacentral:rRNA from 1 species
GACGAACGCUGGCGGCGUGCUUAACACAUGCAAGUCGAACGGAAAGGCCCUGCGUUUGUGGGGUGCUCGAGUGGCGAAAGGGUGAGUAACACGUGAGUAACCUGCCCUUGACUUUGGGAUAACUUCAGGAAACUGGGGCUAAUACCGGAUAGGAGCUCCUGCUGCAUGGUGGGGGUUGGAAAGUUUCGGCGGUUGGGGAUGGACUCGCGGCUUAUCAGCUUGUUGGUGGGGUAGUGGCUUACCAAGGCUUUGACGGGUAGCCGGCCUGAGAGGGUGACCGGCCACAUUGGGACUGAGAUACGGCCCAGACUCCUACGGGAGGCAGCAGUGGGGAAUAUUGCACAAUGGGCGGAAGCCUGAUGCAGCAACGCCGCGUGCGGGAUGACGGCCUUCGGGUUGUAAGCCGCUUUCGCCUGUGACGAAGCGUGAGUGACGGUAAUGGGUAAAGAAGCACCGGCUAACUACGUG